GGCCCUUUCGUCUAGUCCGGUCUAGGACGCCAGGUUCUCAUCCUGGAAACACGGGUUCGAAUCCCGUAGGGGUCA
rnacentral:tRNA from 1 species